rnacentral:misc_RNA from 1 species
GAUGAAGAACGCAGCGAAAUGCGAUAAGUAAUGCGAAUUGCAGAAUUUCCGUGAGUCAUCGAAUCUUUGAACGCACAUUGCGCCCGCCAGCACUCUGGCGGGCAUGCCUGUUCGAGCGUCAUUUCAACCAUCAAGCCCCCAGGGGCUUGUGCUGGGGCCCUGCGGCUGCCCGCAGGCCCUGAAAACCAGUGGCGGGCUCGCUAGUCACACCGAGCGCAGUAGCACAUCUCGCUCAGGGCGUGCGGCGGGCUCCUGCCGUGAAACCCCCCACUGUAACCCCAAAGGUUGACCUCGGAUCAGGUAGGAAUACCCGCUGAACUUAAGCAUAUCAAUAAGCGGAGGA